UGACUUCACAUGCCAUGAACACCCUCAUCCCGGCCUUGUCCUAUCACGUCUGUUCCCUGGGAGAGCUAUCCCACCCAGAGCACAUACUGUAACCAUCUGGUCCAGGAGUGGAAUCCAGGAAAGCAUAUUUUGACAAGAUUUACGGAGGUCUGAUGCAUGCUAACAUAAGAAGCCAGUAGAAGACACCUUGGAACACCCUGUCUGGAUCUCAGAGUUCUCUUCCCAGGAGGUAACACAGCAGUGCAGCGGCCUAUCUGUGUGGUCCAACUCAUUCACUAGCCCACAUAGCCCCACCAGGUCCCCAAGUCCAUCCCCUCACCAGUGCAGAUGUCAGCUCUUCCCUCCCCGAGGCUUCUUGGGCCCCAGCUGUGCGCCUCCUCGCAGCUCCCCACUGUGCCAGCUGCUCUCCUGUGGCACAGCUUUGAUGCCAGCUAACCAUGUAUCAUGUAUAGUAGCUGCUAUAGAAAUACUAAAAGAAAGUACCCAAACAAAUGACAACAAAGUGAAAACUUACAUUUUUCUGCAAACAAAGAACAUGGACAUCAAAUAACAUACAAAGAAAUAUACUACCUCUCACCGGAAGUGUGUACCAUGAAGCUUGGACUAUCUAACAUUUUGUAGCUAUGCCAACAAAAGACCUACAAACACGCAUUUCACUGAGUCUCAGAGACCAAACCACCAUCCUGUUCACUGUGACAAGGAAUUGC